UACGGGGGGGUGCGAGCGUUGUCCGGAAUCACUGGGCGUAAAGGGCGCGUAGGUGGUUUGAUAAGGGUGUGGUGAAAGCCCGGGGCUCAACCCCGGGUCUGCCGUGCCGACUGUCAAACUCGAGGGCUGUAGAGGCAGACGGAAUUCCGGGUGUAGCGGUGGAAUGCGUAGAGAUCCGGAGGAAGACCGGUGGCGAAGGCGGGUCUCUGGGCAUCUCCUGACGCUGAGGCGCGAAAGCGUGGGGAGCAAACGGG
rnacentral:rRNA from 1 species